rnacentral:rRNA from 1 species
CACGUAGGGGGCAAGCGUUGUCCGGAUUUAUUGGGCGUAAAGAGCUCGUAGGCGGUUCGGUAAGUCGGGUGUGAAACCUCCAGGCUCAACCUGGAGAUGCCACCUGAUACUGCUGUGACUCGAGUCCGGUAGGGGAGCGUGGAAUUCCUGGUGUAGCGGUGAAAUGCGCAGAUAUCAGGAGGAACACCAGCGGCGAAGGCGGCGCUCUGGGCCGGAACUGACGCUGAGGAGCGAAAGCGUGGGUAGCAAACGGG